GAAGCCUGAGGCCAGGCUGGGCCCUGGUCCGAGCCCAGUGUUCUUAAAACCAAAACUAACUGGGCCUGAAGAGCUCAAAUUUUAAUAUAGGGACUAUAUUGAAUAUAGUUUGAGGCUAGGUCCUCUUUAAAUUAAUUAGAACUGAUAACGUAUAAUUAUAAAUUAAUCAAUAGUAUUUUUGGGCCAGAAUAUAAGUGGGCUCAGUAAUUGAAUCAGGCCAAGAGCCUGAUCCAGAACCCAAUUAAACAUCGGGCCUGAAUGCAAAUGGGCCCAUACCUGAACCAGGGGGC
rnacentral:lncRNA from 1 species